GUAUUGUAUGAGAGGGGAGAAGGUGAGCACUCCCUUGACAAGAAUGGAAGAGGCCCUUGGGCCUGACAACACCCACACGGUUAAGGCUUUGCUUCGUGGCAUCUAACCUGCUUUUGU
ensembl:snRNA